rnacentral:rRNA from 1 species
UACAGAGGUCCCAAGCGUUGUUCGGAUUUACUGGGCGUAAAGGGUGCGUAGGUGGCGGGUUAAGUUCGAUGUGAAAUCUCCGGGCCCAACCCGGAAAGGUCAUUGAAUACUAGCCGGCUAGAGGGUUGAAGAGGAGACUGGAAUUCUCGGUGUAGCAGUGAAAUGCGUAGAUAUCGAGAGGAACACCAGUGGCGAAGGCGAGUCUCUGGGCAACUCCUGACACUGAGGCACGAAAGCUAGGGGAGCAAACAGG